GAGGCUGUAGCUCAGUGGUAAAUUGCUUUCCUCACAGGAGUGAGGUACUGGGUUCAAUCCUCAGCACCACA
rnacentral:tRNA from 1 species